CCUACGGGUGGCAGCAGUGAGGAAUAUUGGUCAAUGGGCGCAAGCCUGAACCAGCCAAGUCGCGUGAGGGAUGACGGUCCUAUGGAUUGUAAACCUCUUUUGUCGGGGAGCAAGGCCCGCCACGUGUGGCGGGCAGGAGAGUACCCGAAGAAAAAGCAUCGGCUAACUCCGUGCCAGCAGCCGCGGUAAUACGGGGGAUGCGAGCGUUCUCGGUAUUUAGUGGGUUUAAGGGGUGCGUAGGCGGAAGUUUAAGUCAGCGGUAAAAUGUCGGUGCUCAACACCGGCCUGCCGUUGAAACUGGUCUACUUGAGUGGGCGAGAAGUAUGCGGAAUGCGUGGUGUAGCGGUGAAAUACAUAGAUAUCACGCAGAACUCCGAUUGCGAAGGCAGCAUACCGGCGCUCAACUGACGCUGAGGCACGAAAGCGUGGGGAUCGAACAGGAUUAGAUACCCGGGUAGUC
rnacentral:rRNA from 1 species